rnacentral:lncRNA from 12 species
GCUGAACUCGGAGAGCCUCUCCCCGCAGCUGCUUUCGCUGCUGCAUCUCUGCAGAUCAUCAAUAUUCAUGUGCUUCAUCAGCAGAGCCGCUGGAAAGAGCCCUGGGAAUGCUGAGCGGGAUCCGGCUCGGGAAAAUCCUUCGCUGUGGGGUCAGGGAGGUCAGGAACAUUUCUUUCCCAGGUGUUUGCUUGAGCAUGUUGUGUCCUGGGCUCUGAGCAAGCCUGGCUGGGAAUUAUCCCAGCUAUUCUCUGUUGCUGUGACAUCAAAAGCCCAGAUUUCUCCUGCUGGGUGAUCUCCAGGGCACCAAGGCAGAUCCAUGUACAGAACACUUGGAGAAAUUAUUUGAUUUCAGCUUGAACUCAAACUGGGAAUGGAGAGACCUGGAGGGUUUUUUUGUUGUUGUUGUUGUUGUUGUUGAUGUGUUUUCUCUGUUGAUUUCUUCCAUUAUUUCAUGCUCACAUGCACAGAAUAAAAUGCCCAAGGAAGGGCUUGGAUGUUCAAAUAUCCCCCAGUGUGGAAUAUCCCCUCCCACAUCAGAGCAGGAGGGGAGUUUUUUUUUUUUUUUUUUUUGAGGGGGAAAAUCCUUUCACAUUCACCAGGCUUGA